GAGGAGCUGGUGGCAGACACCACCAGCUUCUCGUGUCCACUAGUGCCGCUUCCUACGGCAUCCUUGGCGAACGGCAUGCACGCGCUGCUCGUCCAGUCUGCGUCUACGGACUCGUCACCGGCAGGUCUCCAUGCUCUGCUGGUUCCGGCCAGCCACAGGGACGACGCACCGCGUGAUCACCAGGCGAGGAAUAACGACUCCCACAAGGCCACUCGGGAGCUCCGGGGCUGGCUGAUGGUCCUCGCUACCUUGAUCGCCUCCAUCACCUAUGCCUCCGGGCUCAGCCCGCCCGGCGGCUUCGAAGGCGAGGACAACAUGAUCAACCCCUUCGCCAUCUCCGGGACGCCCGUCCGCCGCAACAUGUUCCCCAGGAGGUAUACGACCUUCUACUACUGCAACACGGCCGCCUUCGCGCUGUCUCUCUCCAUCAUGCUCCUGGUGGCCAGCGAGAACCUGCGCAGGCUGGCCAAGAUCAAGUUGGACAUGCUGGCGCUGCUCAUAGCAUACAUCGCCGACUCCACGUUUGAGUUGAAAGACCUCGGGGUUUGCGCCAGGCUGGUGCUCAUCGUGCCUGUGGCCCUCGUGGUCAUGUCGUCUCGCGUCUGUGGGAAAUACUUCUGGGACGAACUCUGA
rnacentral:rRNA from 1 species